GUAUCAGGGACAGAAGGUAUGAUGGACAACUUUCAGUGAUGCUGCAAGGUGACAAAUUCCAUGAAAAAGCUGACCGAAAGGAUAGAAAUGCUUGGAGAAGGCCGCCCCCUGCCGCCACUGAGGACAACUACACUAAUACAGACAAGAGCGCCUCAACAGUUACACACUCAAGAGUUGGGGUUUUGCCGUAUGCAACUAGCUACCAUCUCCAACGCUUGUGCAAAACAGAAAAGAAAACUGGUAAGUCAGGAGCUGGACACAAGGGUGAACGGUGUGCCGAGAGCUGGAGAGACCCGGGACGAUGGAAAGAGAAAGGAGGAUCAGAUCACCUCACCCACAGAGCCUCUCACCUCGACACACUGAGCAGGGGGACCGAAGUAUGCCAAUAUGGCCAGCUUUCAAGCAAUCACCCCUUGAAGCUCUCCUUGUGGUGAAGCUGAGGGAUCCCACACAUUGCACUGUGGGAGAUGCCAACCUCAGCCCCGAACCACCCUCCAGAUAUAUUCAGGUAAACUAGUCUAUGCAGCAGAGUGGAUGAGGAAAACAAUAUUUCUUGGUGAAGAGGAAGCUGAAAAAAGGUCAAGGAAGAAGUCAUCAUCUUUGAAAGGUGGAGGGGAGGAAGUCACAUGAUGAAAAAGAUGGGGACAGGUCUUCGCUCAGGCACGGCUCGGUUUCUGAUGGGGUCUCUUCCCAGUGCGCCCUGGGAAGUGCGGUCCUCAGCUCUCUAGACUCAUGAAGGCCACCACCUGCUCCAGCUUGAAGGCCAACCUCUGUUUCCUGGCUGCAUCGUCCUGCUCCAGUGCACACACAAUCUGCCAGCAGGACAGUGAGCUGCAGCCGCUCGAGGACAGGCCCGGUGUUUUGCUGGGUGACUCUGGGCAUGUGUGAGGGAGAGAUGUAUUUGCCAGGAAACAAGUCUUCAGAGCAAACUGAGCAAAGGAAAAGGCAGGUCUGCAGUUGAGAUCAAAAUGAAGGCCGGGUUUGAAGAUGGGUGUGGUCCGAUCCAUGAGUACUAGUGCUCAUGUCAACAUGAUGACGGGCGUUGCGGCUGGUGUGAUCCCAAUGCACAAGAUUUUUCUUUUCAAGCAUAUCUACUACGAAUUGGAAGUCACGUUUUUCACUUGUCUAUCUCUUAUGCACCUGACAGGAAAGAUACGCUUCCAUUUUUAUCAAUACAACAGUCUGUUGCGGUCAGGAGUAAACAGCUGAACUGUUACAUGCAACCCAAAGCGACUUUUUGGUCUUUCUUGUGAUGUAUGCGUGCACAUGUUUGUAGUAUAGACCAGAUGUCUAAAGCAAACUGUUAAUUGUGUGACCAAUUUGUGAACGCAUCUCUAUGGAAAGACUGCUUUUAGGGUUUUAAGAUAUAAGUUCUACUGAAAUAUGCUUUUAGGAAGUAAUAAUAAGAUAAUCGUUCAUCCAUACUACCUCCAAUAUUUUUCAUAUUCACCGAAUAUCAUAUUUACAAAAGCUACUGCCAAAUAACACUUUAACACAAGCAGCCUUUAGAAAAUCAUAGGUCUUAAAACAAUGUUUUGUUAGCUUUGCAAAUGUACUGAUCCAUAUGCGGACACUGUAAACAAAUGUUUACCAGCCGUGAUGGAUUUGUCAUUGUCUGGAGACCAUCAACUCCCACAUCAAAUUCGAGUAAAGUGUCAAUAUCUCACUAGCCCGCUUCACUUCACAGCUCCAAAUUAAUAUCAACAUACUGUAGCAAGUAAAAAGCUCUGUGGGAAAUCAUGGCUCUACCCAACUGCACUGCCUCUGAACCCCAGAUAUCAAAAUAAACUGCUGAAUAUGCAGACUUGUUGACUGAUGUCAUUUAUCAGCGUUUCAAGUGAUUUUCUUUGUAGAUGGACUGCUGCAUAGCAAAAACUCAAUGUGUCAAGCUUAACUUCCUGAGACACAGAUUUCCAUUAGCCUGCUCACCAUUUAAGGAUGUCCUAUCCUUACAAUUAAGCUGUAGCAUCAAGAAGAGAAAGAAAUGGGGAGGACAUCUCUUCUCUACCUCCACAGUAUUCACUGUCCUUUCCCUGUGCAGUCUUUUUUCAUAGCUGCUGCAUUCUGCCUUUUAAAUCCUCUCCCUGGCAUGACCCUUACUUUGGCACGGAUGGCCAGCAGAGUGA